UACUCAGUAAUCUCCUCCAUAUAGCCUAACUCACACACAUGCACACUCAUUUAAACAAAACAAGUAUUUAUUUUUGGGUGAUUACUGAUCAGUUCAUUUAUACAUGUAUAAUUAGUAUGUUUUGUUAUCUGUUUUAUUUUGGACUUGUGUAUUGUGUACAGUUUUUAUUGUGGUUUUUAUAUAAUUCUUUGGGCUUCUAACCACACCUGCAAACUGUUUUUUAAAUGUUUUUAUCUGUAUUGUUGUCUACCACUUGUUUUGUUGGGUGCGAGUAAAUAAAACUAGACAGACAGACAGAUAGAGGGGGGAGUAGGGUGUCUGUUAGAUCUGGAACUCUGUCCUUAUCUUUAAAAAGACUCAAAUGGUUUCCCCACAAACCAUCACAAUCAUCAUGCAUGUGUUUCAGAGCAUCUCUGCUUUUCAGUGUUGUUGUAUGCAUUCAGCUGUUUCCUUUGGUGAUGAGUGGUGACCUCAGGAAUAAAGAUUGUCCUCUGUCUGUCUCUCUCUCUCUCUCUCUCUCUCUGUAUGUGUGUCUUUCUCUGUGUCUCUCUUUCCCUCUCUCUCUCUCAGGUCUGGAGCUGAACGGGAUGGGGGUUGAUAAAGGGGAGACUCCUCCUCCCCUGCCCGUGAAGGGCAUCUCUGCUGAUUAUGGGAACCUGCUAGGAGAUAAUCAAGACUUGACGAGUCCCUCCACCCCUCCCCUGACACACCAUCAAAGGCAUCUGCCACCACCUCUUCCCAGCAAGACCCCUCCUCCCCCUCCUCCUAAGACCACCAGGAAACAAGCCUCCAUCGAUUCAGGAAUUGUACAAUGAACAAUGACAUUAAGACACCCGAUAUAAAAAAACAAGGUUCUUUCCCCUCUGUAAUCUCUUCCCCCCAUGCGUUCCAAAAUGGCGGCCUAUUUCCAAUAGUGCACUACUUUGGACUACUUUUGACCAUAGGGCUCUGGUCAAACGUAGGGCCACUAUAUAGUGAAGAGUGUGCCAUUUGGGGAAACAGCAACAGUCUGACCAGGAGUGAAAGAAGAGUAUCUCACUCAGGUAACACUCCUUAUUGAGCCACUCAUUUUGGCUGUGUCCCAAACGGCACCCUAUUCCCAAUAUAGUGCACUACUUUUGACCACGGCCCCGAUAAGGCUCUGGUAAAUAGUAGUUCACUACGUAGGGAAUAGGGUGCCAUUUGGGGCAGAGCCUCAUUGGAUUCUUUCAUUUUUGCCUCAAGUGUGAUGAUGCGGUCUACUUUACCGUAGGUAGAUAGGUGAAUCAGUUUCACAUGAUUACUGGUCACUGAAUUUAUUGAUGCUAUCUAUCAUCUAUGACUCUAUUCUCCACUUGAUACCACUUAGUUCAGGCCUUUGUAAUGCUAUGAGGUCGUGUUCCACCUAUAGAAUUAGAAUGAGUGAAAUGAAUAUAGAAUCAGAACCAGGUGAAUGAAGCGUUCUCUGGUUCUGUCUUUUACACUUUGACCAAUAGACAGGCUGGUGAGUGACGACCAACGUUCUGACCCUUCCCACCUGCUCUUAGAAACCGGGGAGCACAUAGUAACAGAAACAUGCUUUUUAUUCUGUGGUUUAUCUUUUGUAUCCAUAGUUACAGAAAACAUCAUUUUAUUCAGUGGUUUAUCUUUUUUUAUCCGUAUUCCCGCUUUGUACAGAGGUUUGUAUAUAGGAUUUCAUUUUUUAUGUGGAAUUUAUCAUUACUUUUUUUGUAUUAACAUUGCAUUAGAUUAACUGGUUUUCAUUUAUAUCCCCCAAAAAAUGUUUUUUAGGUUUUUAAAUGACAGGGACUGUAAAGAAUUGGUAUGUGAGAAAUCUGCCUAUCAUUGAUUUUAUUGGUAAGGUUUGUGUUUUCUUUGGAGUGAACACAACUAACUCCCUCCUUCAUCAUACAUUGUCAUUGUAUAGGAUUUUAAUGCUGUAACAUUGACUGUUUCCAAUUCACUACUGACUUCUGAAUAAACUUUCAACUGUA